UGCGUAGGCGGGUUUCUAAGUCAGAGGUGAAAGCCUGGAGCUCAACUCCAGAACUGCCUUUGAUACUGGAAGUCUUGAGUUCGGGAGAGGUGAGUGGAACUGCGAGUGUAGAGGUGAAAUUCGUAGAUAUUCGCAAGAACACCAGUGGCGAAGGCGGCUCACUGGCCCGAUACUGACGCUGAGGCACGAAAGCGUGGGGAGCAAACA
rnacentral:rRNA from 1 species